rnacentral:rRNA from 1 species
AGAGUUUGAUCCUGGCUCAGGAUGAACGCUAGCUACAGGCUUAACACAUGCAAGUCGAGGGGCAGCAUGGUCUUAGCUUGCUAAGGCUGAUGGCGACCGGCGCACGGGUGAGUAACACGUAUCCAACCUGCCGUCUACUCUUGGACAGCCUUCUGAAAGGAAGAUUAAUACAAGAUGGCAUCAUGAGUCCGCAUGUUCACAUGAUUAAAGGUAUUCCGGUAGACGAUGGGGAUGCGUUCCAUUAGAUAGUAGGCGGGGUAACGGCCCACCUAGUCAACGAUGGAUAGGGGUUCUGAGAGGAAGGUCCCCCACAUUGGAACUGAGACACGGUCCAAACUCCUACGGGAGGCAGCAGUGAGGAAUAUUGGUCAAUGGGCGAUGGCCUGAACCAGCCAAGUAGCGUGAAGGAUGACUGCCCUAUGGGUUGUAAACUUCUUUUAUAAAGGAAUAAAGUCGGGUAUGCAUACCCGUUUGCAUGUACUUUAUGAAUAAGGAUCGGCUAACUCCGUGCCAGCAGCCGCGGUAAUACGGAGGAUCCGAGCGUUAUCCGGAUUUAUUGGGUUUAAAGGGAGCGUAGAUGGAUGUUUAAGUCAGUUGUGAAAGUUUGCGGCUCAACCGUAAAAUUGCAGUUGAUACUGGAUAUCUUGAGUGCAGUUGAGGCAGGCGGAAUUCGUGGUGUAGCGGUGAAAUGCUUAGAUAUCACGAAGAACUCCGAUUGCGAAGGCAGCCUGCUAAGCUGCAACUGACAUUGAGGCUCGAAAGUGUGGGUAUCAAACAGGAUUAGAUACCCUGGUAGUCCACACGGUAAACGAUGAAUACUCGCUGUUUGCGAUAUACGGCAAGCGGCCAAGCGAAAGCGUUAAGUAUUCCACCUGGGGAGUACGCCGGCAACGGU